GUCACAGACCCCUCAUUUCAGGGUCUGUCAUCGAAUUCAGAGUAGUUCAUGAGGCUGCUGUGGACCAGAGUGACCCAGCAUAAUCCCUAUCCAGAAUUUUAAGACAAAUACAAUGCUACCAAAUCCACUUUUAUUUUGUAUUUCUGUGUGUGUGUGUAUGUGUGUGUGCACGUGUGUGUGUGUGUGUGUGUGUUUUGGUUAAAAAAAAUCUGCAAGAGAGGAAGAAAAAUACACAUCCAUCCGUGGCGUAUAUUCAGCUGUGAUCAUGAAAAUACUGAGUUAUUGUCCGAAAUCGUGUAAAGCAAGAACCUGCAUUAAGAAAGCAUAGCUAAGCAAACAGGCCCGGGACCCAUAUCUGCUGACAUACCGUGCUAUCCUGAGACUGCCGCAGAACAUUUGCAAAGCCGUGUUCUCUAAGAAUUCUGCACAGUGCAAACAGGCAUGAGGGGAAAAAAUACUACUAGGGAACUUCUAGUUCUUGCUGAAAAGGAAAAUUUUGAGCUCUAAAUCUAGCACUACCAAGCAAGAGAGGCAUCUGUGGCUGCAUAUAAAGCUGGUACUCCUUUGCUUGAACAAAAUCCCUCAGUAUACAGUACUUAAAAUAAACAAAGCUCAAAACAGUCAGCUACACACGCAUGUUUUUUGGCCACAUGCUGCCUGAAGAAAAUAGCUAUGCAGUGUGCAUGCCCUAGUUUAAACCAAGCCUGAAUACCGCACAGUCUCAUUCCUCUCCCGGUCUCCUUUUCUAGACAGAAAUACAUUUCCCUUUAAUGUACAAGUGAGAAAAAAAUAUGUUUAAAAGACAGUCCAGGCCCUUGAUAAAAGCACUUACUUUGAAAGAACAGGACAGACUACGUAUUCAAAACAAGAGCGCCUUCUUAAAGUGCAGGCUCAGAAGUUGUUCAAUGGCCAGGACCUUGAUUUGUGCUGGCGGCUCUGGUCCUGCUGGGCAUGGUUAAGGGCGAGGCUCGCAGCCCGCACGGCGUGGUCCUUCAGGGGUGCUGCGUCAGGCUGACGCUCCGGAACAGUUACUGGGACAGGCUGUGAGCGACUCACCAGGACAGUUUUAUUUCUGUGCUGAGCUUGCUGCUUCCUGCUGGGAAAAUGUUAGUGGCGGAGUCACACCCAGUUUACUAAUUGUUUAACUGCAAAGCUUGACUCUGGAAAUAAAAAAGGAAUGAGAGCAGAAGUGGAGACUUCAUAAAGAAAGUGAAUGGGGAUCCAAAAGGAUCCAGCUCCAGCUCCUGGAAGCUUACCCCACCCCACCAAAGAGAACCUGGAUGGAACCCUCUUUCAUCAGGAAUAAACUGGAGCCCAAGGAAAUGAAGGAAUCAGAUGGGGACCAAGUGACCUGUCCACACAAAAGCCAUCUGAUGAGUGCUUCUACUCCCUGUUCGCAGCCCACCUUCAGCUACACAGAUCUGCACGGCCCCUUGCUUCUGCCAUAUGGGAUCCAGCCUGACAGCAGCGAAUGAGUGCACAGAUUUCAAGUAGAGGAAAUCCCCAGGAAAUGAAACAAAGUACAUUUGCUUUUGAAAAGCCAAGCCAUACGGACGACAAACAAUAUGAUGAAAGGUCACUCAGAACCCCACCCUAGAAGAAAGCCAGAAGUCCUGGUUCGGACUGUGGAGAGAAGCUGGCUGCUCCUCACCUGCUCAUCUCGCUACCUGCGAUGAAGCUUCUUUCUGGAUGAUAUGAAGUAUCUUAUCUUUCCCGUACCAGAAGCUGCAAUCUAUUUCCAUGCCUCUCUCUCUCUGAAUCUGCCUUUUUCUAUUGAGGCUAUCACACCUUCUAUUAUGCCCAUUGUGUUGCUAUACCUACUUCCAGCUUUGCUGCAUUUUUGGGAACUGGAGAGCUCCAAUAAACACAGGAAGAGAGGAGCAAGUGGAGGCUUUGAGACUGACUGGUGCAGGCCUGGAGCUACUGAGGGCAGGUGAAAUGUGCAGGUAGGCAGAGGUCUGGGCUGAUCUUCAGAGUCCAGUUGCACCUUUAUCCUGGAAAUCAGUUGUGGAGUCAGAUAUACUGAUCCCUAUUUCUAGCUUCCACAACAGUAUUAUUUUGCACCAUUUUGGAAGCUUUCAUAAAACUAUUUUUAUGGAAGUUAUUAUUUGGGGGAAGGAGAGGCAUCCAGGAAAAUCUAUCAUCGACCUACUAAAUGGACCGCACCACCACCUUUUCCAAUUACAUAUUUUUCCACUGGAUAAUAUUUUAAGAUUCUACAGACACAUGAGUGUCUAAGACAUUGAAAAGCAAACAGCAGCAUCUUUCAACAUAAAUAUAUUAAAGCCCAUA
rnacentral:lncRNA from 1 species